GGAUAGGUGGGAGGCUUUGAAGCAGAGACGCCAGUCUCUGUGGAGCCGUCCUUGAAAUACCACCCUGGUGACUUUGAGGUUCUAACCCAGACCCGUUAUCCGGGUCGGGGACCGUGCAUGGUAGGCAGUUUGACUGGGGCGGUCUCCUCCCAAAGAGUAACGGAGGAGUUCGAAGGUUACCUAGGUCCGGUCGGAAAUCGGACUGAUAGUGCAAUGGCAAAAGGUAGCUUAACUGCGAGACCGACAAGUCGAGCAGGUGCGAAAGCAGGACAUAGUGAUCCGGUGGUUCUGAAUGGAAGGGCCAUCGCUCAACGGAUAAAAGGUACUCCGGGGAUAACAGGCUGAUUCCGCCCAAGAGUCCAUAUCGACGGCGGAGUUUGGCACCUCGAUGUCGGCUCAUCACAUCCUGGGGCUGUAGUCGGUCCCAAGGGUAUGGCUGUUCGCCAUUUAAAGUGGUACGUGAGCUGGGUUUAAAACGUCGUGAGACAGUUUGGUCCCUAUCUGCAGUGGGCGUUGGAAGUUUGACGGGGGCUGCUCCUAGUACGAGAGGACCGGAGUGGACGAACCUCUGGUGUACCGGUUGUUUCGCCAGAAGCAUAGCCGGGUAGCUAAGUUCGGAAGAGAUAAGCGCUGAAAGCAUCUAAGCGCGAAACUCGCCCAAAGAUGAGACUUCCCUUGUGGUUUAACCAU
rnacentral:rRNA from 1 species